CUAAACAAAAAUCUCUUCAUUGCAGGAGAACAGCAGUAUGAGCCAGGCAUUACAGAACGAUCGCGGCGGCCCUGGUUACACUCUGAUCUGGAGGGGACCUACAGAUAUUUACAGUCAAUUACAAUAAGGUUGCAGAUCUCUGUGAAGUCUAACCACAAAUUAAAAGCCACAGCGAGGCACUUAUGAAAUAGCUUUUUAAUACCAUCUCAUGGUUCUGCAUGCAACCCCAAAGUAAAGUAC